UACGUAGGUGGCAAGCGUUGUCCGGAAUUAUUGGGCGUAAAGCGCGCGCAGGCGGUUCCUUAAGUCUGAUGUGAAGGCCCCCGGCUCAACCGGGGAGGGUCAUUGGAAACUGGGGAACUUGAGUGCAGAAGAGAAGAGCGGAAUUCCACGUGUAGCGGUGAAAUGCGUAGAGACGUGGAGGAACACCAGUGGCGAAGGCGGCUCUUUGGUCUGUAACUGACGCUGAGGCGCGAAAGCGUGGGGAGCAAACAGG
rnacentral:rRNA from 1 species